rnacentral:rRNA from 1 species
UAGGGAAUCUUCCACAAUGGACGCAAGUCUGAUGGAGCAACGCCGCGUGAGUGAAGAAGGUCUUCGGAUCGUAAAGCUCUGUUGUUGGUGAAGAAGGAUAGAGGCAGUAACUGGUCUUUAUUUGACGGUAAUCAACCAGAAAGUCACGGCUAACUACGUGCCAG